rnacentral:rRNA from 1 species
UACGUAGGGUGCAAGCGUUAUCCGGAAUUAUUGGGCGUAAAGAGCUCGUAGGCGGUUUGUCGCGUCUGCCGUGAAAACCCGAGGCUCAACCUCGGGCCUGCAGUGGGUACGGGCAGACUAGAGUGCGGUAGGGGAGAUUGGAAUUCCUGGUGUAGCGGUGGAAUGCGCAGAUAUCAGGAGGAACACCGAUGGCGAAGGCAGAUCUCUGGGCCGUAACUGACGCUGAGGAGCGAAAGCGUGGGGAGCAAACAGG